AGCCCCGUAGGGUAGUGGACAAUCCUGCAAGGCUUUGGACCUUGUGACGGAGGUUCGAAUCCUCCCGGGGCUA
rnacentral:tRNA from 1 species